AGCGAACGCUAGCGGCAGGCCUAACACAUGCAAGUCGAACGAACUCUUCGGAGUUAGUGGCGGACGGGUGAGUAACACGUGGGAACGUGCCUUUAGGUUCGGAAUAACUCAGGGAAACUUGUGCUAAUACCGAAUGUGCCCUUCGGGGGAAAGAUUUCUCGCCUUUAGAGCGGCCCGCGUCUGAUUAGCUAGUUGGUGAGGUAACGGCUUACCAAGGCGACGAUCAGUAGCUGGUCUGAGAGGAUGGCCAGCCACACUGGGACUGAGACACGGCCCAGACUCCUACGGGAGGCAGCAGUGGGGAAUCUUGCGCAAUGGGCGAAAGCCUGACGCAGCCAUGCCGCGUGAAUGAUGAAGGUCUUAGGAUUGUAAAAUUCUUUCACCGGGGACGAUAAUGACGGUACCCGGAGAAGAAGCCCCGGCCAACUUCGUGCCAGCAGCCGCCGUAA
rnacentral:rRNA from 1 species